GACGAACGCUGGCGGCGUGCCUAAUACAUGCAAGUAGAACGCACAGUUUAUACCGUAGCUUGCUACACCAUAAACUGUGAGUUGCGAACGGGUGAGUAACGCGUAGGUAACCUGCCUGGUAGCGGGGGAUAACUAUUGGAAACGAUAGCUAAUACCGCAUAAUAUUGAUUAUUGCAUGAUAAUUGAUUGAAAGAUGCUAUUGCAUCACUACCAGAUGGACCUGCGUUGUAUUAGCUAGUAGGUGAGGUAACGGCUCACCUAGGCGACGAUACAUAGCCGACCCGAGAGGGUGAUCGGCCACACUGGGACUGAGACACGGCCCAGACUCCUACGGGAGGCAGCAGUAGGGAAUCUUCGGCAAUGGACGAAAGUCUGACCGAGCAACGCCGCGUGAGUGAAGAAGGUUUUCGGAUCGUAAAGCUCUGUUGUAAGAGAAGAACGGGUGUGAGAGUGGAAAGUUCACACUGUGACGGUAUCUUACCAGAAAGGGACGGCUAACUACGUG
rnacentral:rRNA from 1 species